AAUCCUUGUGAAGUACAAGUAUCCAAUCACCACAAUAUAAAACUGCCUGAAAAGAGUCAAUUUUGCCAAAUUCCUUGCUGCCUUCCCAUCGGUCUUGGAAGUCUCCCUCAAUGACCUAAUCGACCACACAAUGGGGAAAAUAAUAGCACAGCAGCACACAAUAUCAACAAUCAAAAAGACCUGAUUCCAUGUCACCCAAUCCUUAAUAAAAGGACCUGUUUCGCCAAUAACAACCGAAGCCACAUUAGCCAAAACCUGAAGUGGAAUCACAAUCAUCAACACCUUCUUUUCCCUAUCUUGCAAAAAUGGCUUCAAGAACGACCACCCAGUACCAAUCAAAACGAUGACAGUGAAAAGCAAAACCACACGCAUGGACUGGAAAAUGUAGAACAACACAUCCCAUCCAUGUGCAGUCCCAGUAACCUUAACAUAAUGCUUA
rnacentral:misc_RNA from 1 species